rnacentral:rRNA from 1 species
UUGAACGCUGGCGGCAUGCUUUACACAUGCAAGUCGAACGGUAACAGGCCGCAAGGUGCUGACGAGUGGCGAACGGGUGAGUAAUGCAUCGGAACGUGCCCAGUCGUGGGGGAUAACUACUCGAAAGAGUAGCUAAUACCGCAUACGAUCUAUGGAUGAAAGCGGGGGACCGUAAGGCCUCGCGCGAUUGGAGCGGCCGAUGUCAGAUUAGGUAGUUGGUGGGGUAAAGGCUCACCAAGCCAACGAUCUGUAGCUGGUCUGAGAGGACGACCAGCCACACUGGGACUGAGACACGGCCCAGACUCCUACGGGAGGCAGCAGUGGGGAAUUUUGGACAAUGGGCGCAAGCCUGAUCCAGCAAUGCCGCGUGCAGGAAGAAGGCCUUCGGGUUGUAAACUGCUUUUGUACGGAACGAAACGGCUCUGGUUAAUACCCGGAGCUAAUGACGGUACCGUAAGAAUAAGCACCGGCUAACUACGUG